rnacentral:tRNA from 1 species
GGGCUCGUAGCUCAGUUGGUUAGAGCGCAUCAUUUGCAAUGAUGAGGUCACCGGUUCGACUCCGGUCGAGUCCA